UACGAAGGGGGCUAGCGUUGCUCGGAAUGACUGGGCGUAAAGGGCGCGUAGGCGGAGUGCUUUGUCAGGCGUGAAAUUCCAGGGCUUAACCUUGGGGCUGCGUUUGAGACGGGCAUUCUUGAGUAUGGAAGAGGGUCGUGGAAUUCCCAGUGUAGAGGUGAAAUUCGUAGAUAUUGGGAAGAACACCGGUGGCGAAGGCGGCGACCUGGUCCAUUACUGACGCUGAGGAGCGAAAGCGUGGGGAGCGAACAGG
rnacentral:rRNA from 1 species